rnacentral:sRNA from 1 species
GCGCCCCGUAAAAAGGGACGGCCCGCCGCAGGAACCCUAAACUCUGUUUUUAGUGGAACUUCUGAGUAUAAAAAACAAAUAAAUCAAAACUUUCAACAACGGAUCUCUUGGUUCUGGCAUCGAUGAAGAACGCAGCAAAAUGCGAUAAGUAAUGUGAAUUGCAGAAUUCAGUGAAUCAUCGAAUCUUUGAACGCACAUUGCGCCCGCCAGUAUUCUGGCGGGCAUGCCUGUUCGAGCGUCAUUUCAACCCUCAAGCCCAGCUUGGUGUUGGGAGCUGCAGUCCUGCUGCACUCCCCAAAUACAUUGGCGGUCACGUCGAGCUUCCAUAGCGUAGUAAUUUUACAUAUCGGUUACUUUGGUAAUCGUCGCGGCCACGCCGUUAAACCCCAACUUCUGAAUGUUGACCUCGGAUCAGGUAGGAAUACCCGCUGAACUUAAGCAUAUCAAUAAGCGGAGGAACUUG